rnacentral:ncRNA from 1 species
UAACAGGGGAGCUUGUAAACAGGCUGAGAGGGAGUUGUGAACUCCGACCCUUCAACCUGAUGCGGAUAAUGCCGUCGUAGGAAGUUU